rnacentral:rRNA from 1 species
UGGGGAAUAUUGCGCAAUGGGGGAAACCCUGACGCAGCAACGCCGCGUGCGGGAUGAAGGCCUUCGGGUUGUAAACCGCUUUCAGCAGGGAAGACAUCGACGGUACCUGCACAAGAAGCCCCGGCUAACUACGUGCCAGCAGCCGCGGUAAUACGUAGGGGGCGAGCGUUAUCCGGAUUCAUUGGGCGUAAAGCGCGCGCAGGCGGCUCUUCAAGCGGAACCUCUAACCCCGGGGCUCAACCUCGGGCCGGGUUCCGAACUGGCGGGCUGGAGUGAGGUAGAGGCAGGCGGAAAUCCCGGUGUAGCGGUGGAAUGCGCGGAUAUCGGGAAGAACACCGAUGGCGAAGGCAGCCUGCUGGGCCGGCACUGACGCUGAGGCGCGAAAGCUAGGGGAGCGAACAGG